GCUCAGGACGAACGCUGGCGGCGUGCCUAAUACAUGCAAGUCGAGCGGACAGAAGGGAGCUUGCUCCCGGAUGUUAGCGGCGGACGGGUGAGUAACACGUGGGUAACCUGCCUGUAAGACUGGGAUAACUCCGGGAAACCGGAGCUAAUACCGGAUAGUUCCUUGAACCGCAUGGUUCAAGGAUGAAAGACGGUUUCGGCUGUCACUUACAGAUGGACCCGCGGCGCAUUAGCUAGUUGGUGGGGUAAUGGCUCACCAAGGCGACGAUGCGUAGCCGACCUGAGAGGGUGAUCGGCCACACUGGGACUGAGACACGGCCCAGACUCCUACGGGAGGCAGCAGUAGGGAAUCUUCCGCAAUGGACGAAAGUCUGACGGAGCAACGCCGCGUGAGUGAUGAAGGUUUUCGGAUCGUAAAGCUCUGUUGUUAGGGAAGAACAAGUGCGAGAGUAACUGCUCGCACCU
rnacentral:rRNA from 1 species